rnacentral:rRNA from 1 species
UGCGUAGGCGGAAAAUUAAGUCAGUGGUGAAAUCCUGCAGCUCAACUGUAGAACUGUCAUUGAUACUGAUUUUCUUGAAUACAGUUGAGGUAGGCGGAAUAUGUAAUGUAGCGGUGAAAUGCUUGGAUAUUACAUAGAACACCAAUUGCGAAGGCAGCUUACUAAACUGUGAUUGACGCUGAGGCACGAAAGCGUGGGGAGCGAACAGGAUUAGAUACCCUGGUAGUCC